rnacentral:siRNA from 1 species
CCACAAUGUGGAUGCUAACUAG